AAAAUAUUCAAUCAUUAAAUGAAAUGGGAAAAUCCACGGAUUAAUCACAGAAGAGAUAUUCUGUCUGCUAGGCAAUCUGCAGCAUAGUAUUUUGUUGUUUUUCCAGGUCAACCACAAAGAGGAAGAUUCAUGUUCCUCUUUCUAUUGCAUGGAGGAAAGACAUGCAAGUGCAAAGCAUGUGGCCUAUGCUGUUUACUCCCUCAGCAAGAGCUACAUCUACCUCGACACAGAGACCAGCAGCAUCUUGCCCUGCAACCAGAUUCACACAGUUCAGGCACAUUUUAUUCUGAAGGGGGACUUGGGGGUGCUGAAAGAGCUCAUUUUCUACUACCUGGUCAUGGCGCAGGGAAGCAUCAUCCAGACUGGAAACCAUACUCACCAGGUGGAGUCAGGAGAAGGUAAGUGUUUCCCCACACAGUAAUAUUUCCCCAACUCAGUGUCCACAUACUCACCAAUGGAAUCCUACCACUGAGCAAGUCACAGUGCCAUCAUGCUUGUGUGUCUCCAUAGACACUCUCCACAGUGGGAACUCAUGGCUUUGCUGUCCAUUGUAAGUUCUCAAUCAUAACAUGACCUUCAGGAAAGUCUCAGGGUCCCAACCUGAGUAUCAUUCAACAUGGUGAAAUAUCUAUUCUGAAUAUGUAACACCUGAAUACACAAAGUACUCCAAGAUAUAAUCUACAUGAGGAACUUAUGCAUUCACAUACUGAUAAUUCCCAACAGGGCAAAAGAGUUACCUUAAUGUUGGUCAAAAAAAAGAUCAGAAUUUGUCCUUAACAUUCUAACUACACCGAUUUUCAUGUAUUUUUAUUAUUUUUAAACUAUGUGUGAGGUGCAAGUCAGUACAGGUAUUCUGAAACCCAGCGGCACCAAAUCCCCUGGAUAUUUUGGAGACAUAAUUACAGUUCUGAGCACCUUGGUGUGGGUGCUGGAAAUCAAACCAGGGUCUUCUAGAGGAGCAUCAUCUGAUCUUAACUACUGACCUCUCUCUCCAGAUCAUUAUUUUUACUUAUAAAGACUUAUUUUUUAUUCUUUGAAAGUUACAUAUAUUUAUCUGUAUUAUAACCAAACCCUUUCCCCAGUAAUCCCCAGACUCCUCCCAGACUCACCAAGCCCCUUCCCUAUUUUAUAUCUCUUUUUUAACCUAUUGAGUUCACUUAGUGCUACCCAUACAUAAAAAGGUAUUGGGCAAGCUCCUGAAACAUGGACAGUCGACCAGAGGCCACAUUGCUGAAGAGAUCUGACUUUUGCUCCCCUGAGUAGCCCUCAACUGUGAAUAUCUCCUCAACUAAUUGUGGGUCUUCACAAAUGCCUCCCCUUCCAUGCUGGAAUAAUGACUGCCUUGCUGUUGUGAAUGUCAGAGGCAGGGAAUCAUAGCUGCUGUGACUUUAUAAGUGAAGUCACCUUGUCAUCUUCUGGUGAUAUUUGCUCAAUUCUACCAAAAUGUGACUCCCUUUCCACUACCUUAUUUGGGCCUCUUGUACCCACAAAAUCCAAGUACCCACUGAAUCCUGGUAAUCUCAAUUCUUUGUUCUUGCCAUCCUUUCCUUACAAAACAGCACUUAUCACAUGAAAACCCAUGUUCUACAAUAUACCUUUUCUUAUUCAUUUCUCUCCAUGGUCAUAAUGACUGCAUGGAACACUAUUGAAACCAUAUACUACUUAUAGGAGUCUCAUGCAAGCCAAUGACAGUAAAACUAUUUGUACAUUGAAUUAAAAACAGGACUUACAGGGAAUAAUCAUAUAAUCACUUUAAUAGCUUAAAAUUUAUACAGACACUGGAUAAUAGCAAGUUUUAGGUGUAAACAUGCUUUCUCUAUGCAGUCAUAGAUAAAUUUCAAGUCAUUUCUAGAAGUGGUAGAUACUCAUUGAAUCCUCAACAAAUUUACUGAAAAGAGGCUUCCUUGCCAUUGAUCAAUUAUAAAAACUAUUUAGCUGUUUAAUAAAUUAUGCAAUUGGUUCUUCA
ensembl:lncRNA